rnacentral:tRNA from 1 species
GCCAAUGUAGCUCAGCUGGUUAGAGCACGGGACUCAUAACCCCGAGGUCGGUGGUUCGAGCCCACUCAUUGGCACCA